rnacentral:tRNA from 1 species
UGGCUCAGUCGGUUGAGCAUCUGACUUCAGCUCAGAUCAUGAUCUCGUGGUUUGUGAGUUCGAACCCCAC